GCCCUCGUGGUCCAACGGAGCACGACACCGGUGUCCGAAGCCGGAGACGCAGGUUCGACUCCUGCCGGGGGCU
rnacentral:tRNA from 1 species